AAGCGCUUACAACCAGACUUGCGCGCGGCGGUUCCCCCUUCCUUUUGGUUGGGCUACUCCGUCGGGCUCAGGCCAGCAUCGGUUCUUGCGGGGGGAUAAAAGCCUUGGGAACGUAGCUCCUCCGGGAGUGUUAUAGCCCUCGGUGCAAUGCCCCCGCGGGGACCGAGGACCGCGCUUCGGCAAGGAUGCUGGCGUAAUGGUCAUCAGCGA
rnacentral:rRNA from 1 species